UACAGAGGUCUCAAGCGUCGUUCGGAUUCAUUGGGCGUAAAGGGUGCGUAGGCGGCGCGGUAAGUCGGGUGUGAAAUCUCGGAGCUUAACUCCGAAACUGCAUUCGAUACUGCCGUGCUUGAGGACUGGAGAGGAGACUGGAAUUUACGGUGUAGCGGUGAAAUGCGUAGAUAUCGUAAGGAAGACCAGUGGCGAAGGCGGGUCUCUGGACAGUUCCUGACACUGAGACACGAAGGCCAGGGGAGCAAACGGG
rnacentral:rRNA from 1 species